rnacentral:rRNA from 1 species
UACAGAGGUCUCAAGCGUUUGUUCGGAUUCAUUGGGCGUAAAGGGUGCGUAGGCGGUUCGUCGCGUCGGCUGUGAAAUCCCGAGGCUCAACCUCGGGUCUGCAGUCGAUACGGGCGGACUGGAGUUCGGUAGGGGAGAUCGGAAUUCCUGGUGUAGCGGUGAAAUGCGCAGAUAUCAGGAGGAACACCGGUGGCGAAGGCGGAUCUCUGGGCCGAUACUGACG